rnacentral:rRNA from 1 species
AUUGAACGCUGGCGGCAGGCUUAACACAUGCAAGUCGAGCGGAGAUGAGGUGCUUGCACCUUAUCUUAGCGGCGGACGGGUGAGUAAUGCUUAGGAAUCUGCCUAUUAGUGGGGGACAACAUUCCGAAAGGAAUGCUAAUACCGCAUACGCCCUACGGGGGAAAGCAGGGGAUCUUCGGACCUUGCGCUAAUAGAUGAGCCUAAGUCGGAUUAGCUAGUUGGUGGGGUAAAGGCCUACCAAGGCGACGAUCUGUAGCGGGUCUGAGAGGAUGAUCGGCCACACUGGGACUGAGACACGGCCCAGACUCCUACGGGAGGCAGCAGUGGGGAAUAUUGGACAGUGGGCGGAAGCCUGAUCCAGCCAUGCCGCGUGUGUGAAGAAGGCCUUUUGGUUGUAAAGCACUUUAAGCGAGGAGGAGGCUACCUGGAUUAAUACUCUGGGAUAGUGGACGUUACUCGCAGAAUAAGCACCGGCUAACUCUGUGCCAGCCGCCGCGGUAACAC